ACAAAAUUGCUAAGAAUCUUUGGACAUAUGUCUGUUGAAGUGUUGGGGGGUUUGCCAAAUGUGGUCAGCACUACUUGUUAGUGCGGUUAGGGCACAGCUGUUUGUGACAGUCCUUUUAUUCUUCUGUUAAAAGCUUCUUGUGUUCUUCUGUACUUCUCUCAAUUUGACCUUGUGAGUAGUCCAUGCAAGACCUUCAUGUGCAGUUUCACUCUUAAAGGGGAACAUUAUCAGCAGACCUAUGUAAGCGUCAAUAUAUACCUUGAUGUCGCAGAAAAAAGACCAUAUAUUUUUUUAACCGAUUUCCGAACUCUAAAUGGGUGAAUUUUGGCGAAUUAAACGCCUUUCUGUUUAUCGCUCUCUCAGCGACGACGUCAGAACGUGACGUCACAUCGGUCGUCAACGCCAUGUUUCCCUACCACAUCGAGUCAAAUCAGCUCUGUUAUUUUCCGUUUUUUCGACUGUUUGCCGGUACCUUGGAGACAUCAUGCCUCGUUGGUGUGUUGUCGGAGGGUGUAACAACACGAUCAUGGACGGAUCCAAGUUGAUUUACGUAGAAUGUGCAUCGAUUAGCACGGCAUGCUAAUCGAUGCUAACAUGCUAUUUAGGCUAGCUGUGUGCAUUAUGCCUCAUUUGUAGCUAUAUUUACAUCCAGCCUUUCCCUCCAUCCACAUUUAAUGGCAAAAAAACACUUACCAAUCGACGGAUUUAAGUUGCUCCAGUGCAGCAUCGCGUGGACAUCGGGGGCGGUACCUCUGGAUUGGCACACCGGGGUGGUGGUUCCUCUCUUUAAGAAGGAGGACCGGAGGGUGUGUUUCAACUAUGGUGGGAUCACACUCCUCAGUCUUCCCGGUAAGGUUUAUUCAGGUGUACUGGAGAGGAGGCUACGCCGGAUAGUCGAUCCUCGGAUUCAGGAGGAACAGUGUGGUUUUCGUCCUGGUCGUGGAACUGUGGACCAGCUCUAUACUCUCCGCAGGGUUCUUGAGGGUGCAUGGGAGUUUGCCCAACCAGUCUACAUGUGCUUUGGGGACUUGGAGAAGGCAUUGGACCGUGUCCCUCUGGAAGUCCUGUGGGGAGUGCUCAGAGAGUAUGGGGUAUCGGACUGUCUGAUUGUGGCGGUCCGCUCCCUGUAUGAUCAGUGUCAGAGCUUGGUCCGCAUUGCUGGCAGUAAGUCGGACACGUUUCCAGUGAGAGUUGGACUCCGCCAAGGCUGUCCUUUGUCACCCAUUCUGUUCAUAACUUUUAUGGACAGAAUUUCUAGGCGCAGUCAAGGCGUUGAGGGGUUCCGGUUUGGUGGCUGCAGGAUUAGGUCUCUGCUUUUUGCAGAUGAUGUGGUCCUGAUGGCUUCAUCUGACCGGGAUCUUCAGCUCUUACUGGAUCGGUUUGCAGCAGAGUGUGAAGCGACCAGAAUGAGAAUCAGCACCUCAAAGUCCGAGUCCAUGGUUCUCGCCUUGAAAAGGGUGGAAUGCCAUCUCCGGGUUGGGGAGGAGACCCUGCCCCAAGUGGAGGAGUUCAAGUACCUAGGAGUCUUGUCCACGAGUGAGGGAAGAGUGGAUCGUGAGAUCGACAGGCGGAUCGGUGCGGCGUCUUCUGUAAUGCGGACAUUGUACCGAUCCGUUGUGGUGAAGAAGGAGCUGAGCCGGAAGGCAAAGCUCUCAAUUUACCGGUCGAUCUACGUUCCCAUCCUCACCUAUGGUCAUGAGCUUUGGGUCAUGACCGAAAGGAUAAGAUCACGGGUACAAGCGGCCCAAAUGAGUUUCCUCCGCCGUGUGGCGGGUCUCUCCCUUAGAGAUAGGGUGAGAAGCUCUGCCAUCCGGGAGGAACUCAAAGUAAAGCCGCUGCUCCUCCACAUGGAGAGGAGCCUGAUGAGGUGGUUCGGGCAUCUGGUCAGGAUGCCACCCGAACGCCUCCCUAGGGAGGUGUUUAGGGCACGUCCAACCGGUAGGAGGCCACGGGGAAGAACCAGGACACAUUGGGAAGAGUAUGUCUCCCGGCUGGCCUGGGAACGCCUCGGGAUCCCCCGGGAAGAGCUAGACGAAGUGGCUGGGGAGAGGGAAGUCUGGGCUUCCCUACUUAGGCUGCUGCCCCCUUGACCCGACCUCGGAUAAUCGGAAGAAGACGGAUGGAUGGACAGUGUCAAAAGAUGCGAAAGUCCCUCGUUUGGUUUUUACCGGCGAUGCUACGACAUAGAUGGCAAGAAUGUCUGGAUAUCCUGCGACACUCAAAGCAGAUGCAUUCUCAACGAUAAAGUCAACUGAAUCACAAAGCAUUCUAAAAAUCCUUGGUGAGUUGUCAUCAAAGGUAGUUGAAGAUUUCUCGAUGGCAACUCGUCGACACAACAUUCCCACUUCACAAGUCACUGUCACCUCCUCGGGGCGCGCAGUGAAGAGACGAAUCCAG